CGGGUGAGCAAUGCCUAGGAAUCUGCCUGGUAGUGGGGGACAACGUUUCGAAAGGAACGCUAAUACCGCAUACGUCCUACGGGAGAAAGCAGGGGACCUUCGGGCCUUGCGCUAUCAGAUGAGCCUAGGUCGGAUUAGCUAGUUGGUGAGGUAAUGGCUCACCAAGGCGACGAUCCGUAACUGGUCUGAGAGGAUGAUCAGUCACACUGGAACUGAGACACGGUCCAGACUCCUACGGGAGGCAGCAGCU
rnacentral:rRNA from 1 species